ACGAACGCUGGCGGCGUGCUUAACACAUGCAAGUCGAACGGAAAGGCCCUGCUUUUGUGGGGUGCUCGAGUGGCGAACGGGUGAGUAACACGUGAGUAACCUGCCCUUGACUUUUGGAUAACCUCAUGAAACUGGGGCUAAUACCGGAUAGGAGCUCCUGCUGCAUGGUGGGGGUUGGAAAGUUUCGGCGGUUGGGGAUGGACUCGCGGCUUAUCAGCUUGUUGGUGGGGUAGUGGCUUACCAAGGCUUUGACGGGUAGCCGGCCUGAGAGGGUGACCGGCCACAUUGGGACUGAGAUACGGCCCAGACUCCUACGGGAGGCAGCAGUGGGGAAUAUUGCACAAUGGGCGGAAGCCUGAUGCAGCAACGCCGCGUGCGGGAUGACGGCCUUCGGGUUGUAAACCGCUUUCGCCUGUGACGAAGCGUGAGUGACGGUAAUGGGUAAAGAAGCACCGGCUAACUACGUG
rnacentral:rRNA from 1 species